UACAGAGGUCUCAAGCGUUGUUCGGAUUCAUUGGGCGUAAAGGGUGCGUAGGUGGCGCCGUAAGUCAGGUGUGAAAUUUCGGAGCUUAACUCCGAAACUGCAUUUGAUACUGCCGUGCUUGAGGACUGGAGAGGAGAUUGGAAUUCACAGUGGAGCAGUGAAAUGCGUAGAUAUUGUGAGGAACACUAGUGGCGAAGGCGAAUCUCUGGACAGUUCCUGACGCUGAGGCACGAAGGCCAGGGGAGCAAACGGG
rnacentral:rRNA from 1 species